rnacentral:lncRNA from 1 species
UUGUAUUUGUCAAUAAAAGUGGUUUAUUAUGGAUCAGUGAGCUAAGAUAUAUAUAUAUAUAUGUUGAAAACUUUAUGAACAAGAGAAAUACAAGACCAGAUAUUCGAUGAGAAGACGAAUACGGUGAGAAUAAAAGUAGUGUGCUGCAGUCCUGAAAAGAUUAGGGACAAACUAUGCUGCAAAGGUGAAGGUUCAAUCAAGAGUAUUGCAAUCCUGGAACCUGAAAAGCCUAAACCACCACCACCAAAACCCAAAGAACCCGAGAAGCCAAAAGCACCUGAGAAACCCAAAGAACCCGAGAAGCCAAAACAACCUGAAAAACCCAAAGAACCCGAGAAGCCAAAACAACCUGAGAAACCCAAAGAGCCGGAGAAACCCAAAGAGCCCGAGAAACCUAAAGAGCCCGAGAAACCUAAAGAGCCUGCGAAACCCAAAGAGCCAGAAAAGCCUAAAGAGCCACCAAAACCAUCACCACCGGCACCUGCACCGGCACCGGCACCGGCACCUGCACCAGCACCGGCUCCAGUUCCGUGUCACCCGCCGGUCGGGGUGUGCUGCAGGGAAUGUUAUGAGGGGCGCGGUGGGGGACCAUGUUACGAUCUUGGCUAUGGGCAAACGAGGCAUUAUGAUGGGUACUGUGGAAGGCCAGUGUAUGAGGGUUGGGCUGGCGGCUGCGAUACUAGAGGUUAUUACAGAAGUCGUUGCUCAGAUUACAUCUGUGAAGAAAAUCCAACAGCGCCUUGCACCAUCAUGUAAAUUCAUAUUACAUAUACAAAUCCAAUCCAUGCUACUGCCUACCGCCACCCACCAAUGAUCGUGAAUGGUGAUUGUCGGUGAUCAUGUCCUUUUCUUCUAGUUGCCUCUUGUAUGUUGUUGAUUUAAUCAUUUACUUUUUUUUUAUGAUGAUAAUAAAUAACAAUAAUGAUAUAGACUUUAUAGGAAGGAAAAUAAUAGCUAAAUAAAAGCAAGAUUGGUGGAUCCGUUGAUCAAUUUGUUGAUGCUACAAUUAAUUUAAUAAGAGGUUUCCAUUAAUAUUGAUUGCCUUUUCAAUUAAUUAUGCAUUUCCGAUUCCUAACCUUGUCCUUCACUUUCUGAUCGUGCACAUACGUAUGCCCUUUCUUAUUAUUUUAGUGAUGUCCUCCUGUUAAAGAUAUAUGUAGUCCGCUAGAGUCGCAGUCUUCUAGUUUUAUUUAAUGCUUUAUAAAAGGUGAGUAGUGC